rnacentral:rRNA from 1 species
GAUGAACGCUGGCGGCGUGCCUAAUACAUGCAAGUCGAGCGAACGGACGAGAAGCUAGCUUCUCUGAUGUUAGCGGCGGACGGGUGAGUAACACGUGGAUAACCUACCUAUAAGACUGGGAUAACUUCGGGAAACCGGAGCUAAUACCGGAUAAUAUUUUGAACCGCAUGGUUCAAAAGUGAAAGACGGUCUUGCUGUCACUUAUAGAUGGAUCCGCGCUGCAUUAGCUAGUUGGAAAGGUAACGGCUUACCAAGGCAACGAUGCAUAGCCGACCUGAGAGGGUGAUCGGCCACACUGGAACUGAGACACGGUCCAGACUCCUACGGGAGGCAGCAGUAGGGAAUCUUCCGCAAUGGGCGAAAGCCUGACGGAGCAACGCCGCGUGAGUGAUGAAGGUCUUCGGAUCGUAAAACUCUGUUAUUAGGGAAGAACAUAUGUGUAAGUAACUGUGCACAUCUUGACGGUACCUAAUCAGAAAGCCACGGCUAACUACGUG